rnacentral:rRNA from 1 species
ACGUAGGGACCGAGCGUUGUCCGGAAUCAUUGGGCGUAAAGAGCGUGUAGGCGGCUUGGUAGGUCUCGUGUGAAAUCCCGCGGCUCAACCGCGGACCCGCACGGGAAACCCCCAAGCUCGAGUCCGGAAGAGGAGAGUGGAAUUCCUGGUGUAGCGGUGAAAUGCGCAGAUAUCAGGAAGAACACCCGUAGCGAAGGCGGCUCUCUGGGACGGUACUGACGCUGAGACGCGAAAGCGUGGGGAGCAAACAGG